UGGGGAAUUUUGGACAAUGGGCGCAAGCCUGAUCCAGCCAUGCCGCGGGAGUGAAGAAGGCCUUCGGGUUGUAAAGCUCUUUCAGACGGAAAGAAAUCUCUCAGGAUAAUACCUUGGGAGGAUGACGGUACCGUAAGAAGAAGCACCGGCUAACUACGUGCCAGCAGCCGCGGUAAUACGUAGGGUGCGAGCGUUAAUCGGAAUUACUGGGCGUAAAGCGUGCGCAGGCGGUUAUAUAAGACAGAUGUGAAGUCCCCGGGCUCAACCUGGGACCUGCAUUUGUGACUGUAUAGCUAGAGUACGGCAGAGGGAGGUGGAAUUCCGCGUGUAGAAGUGAAAUGCGUAGAUAUGCGGAGGAACACCGAUGGCGAAGGCAGCCUCCUGGGCCAGUACUGACGGUCAUGAACGAAAGCGUGGGGAGCAAACA
rnacentral:rRNA from 1 species